GACGAACGCUGGCGGCGUGCUUAACACAUGCAAGUCGAACGGAAAGGCCCUGCUUGCCGGGUACUCGAGUGGCGAACGGGUGAGUAACACGUGGGUGAUCUGCCCUGCACUUCGGGAUAAGCCUGGGAAACUGGGUCUAAUACCGGAUAGGAGCCAUUUUUAGUGUGAUGGUUGGAAAGUUUUUUCGGUGUAGGAUGAGCUCGCGGCCUAUCAGCUUGUUGGUGGGGUAAUGGCCUACCAAGGCGGCGACGGGUAGCCGGCCUGAGAGGGUGGACGGCCACAUUGGGACUGAGAUACGGCCCAGACUCCUACGGGAGGCAGCAGUGGGGAAUAUUGCACAAUGGGCGCAAGCCUGAUGCAGCGACGCCGCGUGGGGGAUGACGGCCUUCGGGUUGUAAACUCCUUUCGCUAGGGACGAAGCUUUUUGUGACGGUACCUAGAUAAGAAGCACCGGCUAACUACAUG
rnacentral:rRNA from 1 species